rnacentral:lncRNA from 10 species
UCCAAGCAUCAAGCCAAGGAGGCAGUGGGCUUCUAGGGUGCCCAAAGGAGAGAGAGAAUAAACUUGAACAUUCUGACUUUGAAGGAACAUGACCAGGCUAGCCCAGGAGAAAGAUGGAGCACAUAUGGAGCAGAGCUGCCCCAGCCAACCUGCUCUUGAGACCCCAGCUUAGAGCAUCCAACUCCCAGCUAACACCCAGAAGCAUGAGUGACUCCAUUUAAGGUCAAUAAAACCAUCUAGCCGAGUCCAGUGAGAUAAGCCAGCCCUUGGUUGAUCACAGAUGCAUGAGCUAAAUAAA